rfam:Homo sapiens chromosome 16 genomic contig, GRCh38 reference assembly alternate locus group ALT_REF_LOCI_1.
GCCGGGCGUGGUGGCUCAUGCCUGUAAUCCCAGCACUUUGGGAGGCCGAGGCGGGUGGAUCACCUGAGGUCAGGAGUUUGAGACCGGCCUGGCCAACAUGGUGAGACUCCGUCUCUA